UGCUCACUCCUGUCAGCUCUCAGUAGGCCCUGUGCUCACUCCUGUGUGAGCUCUCAGCAGGCCCUGUGCUCACUCCUGUCAGCUCUCAGCAGGCCCUGUGCUCACUCCUGUCAGUUCUCAGUAGGCCCUGUGCUCACUCCUGUCAGCUCUCAGCAGGCCCUGUGCUCACUCCUGUCAGCUCUCAGCAGGCCCUGUGCUCACUCCUGUGUGAGCUCUCAGCAGGCCCUGUGC